UAGUUAGUCAGUUGUUGUUCUAUCCUUACAGUUACUGCCGCCAUUCUAGCAAUUACUACUUCAAUCUGGAGCUUGCUAACACCAUUUCUUUUUUUCUUUUUUUUUGUGCAAAGUCCAAACUUGGUGUGCUCAAAAUUUGCCAAUUCAGCCUUGCGUUUUUUUCAAACUCUGACCUUUUUUUGUCUUAGUUUUGUAUUUCUCUGUCCAUUUUUUCCAUUUGCAGAACUACAACUAUGGUGGGUUUCAUUUGUAAGAGACAUGGAGGGCAAAAUUGAAAUGAAAACUAGUUUCUUCUAGUCACAAGUGACCAUUAGAUCGCGUCAAUAUCACUCACUAGCUUCCCAGCCGAUCAGCAGGUAAAAUCCUAAGAAGUCCAAAGCACAGGGAGGUUAAGUGGGCGUUUCUAAAUAAUGAGAAAGUUUCGUGUUGAUUUCCUUAACCACAGGGGGGUUUUAUGUAUGUUACCCAAAUUAUUAGGUAACCACGUGGCAACAAGGGAGGCAAAGAACCAAACCUCUCUUCCUUCUAAUACUAGAUUGAAAUGUGUCCUACCUAGUAUUAUCAGUGACACUCAAAAUGCCAUUGUCAAGGGCAGGCAUAUCAUUGAUAAUGUCCUGGUAAUUCAUGAACUGGUGAGAGGAUAUCAAAGGAGUAGGGGUAAGCCCAGAUAUGUUUUGAAAAUAGAUGUUAUGAAAUCAUACAGCUCUCUAUGUUGGGAGUAUUUCUUUCUAUGCUAGAAAUGCUAAGAUUACCUGAUCAAGAUGGGUGGUUUUAUGUGUCACUACUGGAAGAUUCUCGCUCAAUAUCAAUAGAUGACUUAUUGGAUGUUUCCCCAAUGAAAGAGGUUUGAGGCAGGGGAUCCCAUUUCACCUCAACUCUUUGUGAUUGCAAUGGAAGGAUUCAGUGUUCUGUUUAAUUUGUUUGAUUUUUAUCCCCACUGCCAGAAGAUUGGCUAACACAUUUGACUUUUGCUGAUGAUCUCUUUAUAAUUUCUGGUGCUAGAAAGAGAUCCUUUACGCUUAUUGCUACUGCUAUGGAGGAAUUUGGGAAAAUGUCAGGGUUGGAACCAGAUCUUCAGAAAUGUUACAUAUUCUUUGCUGGCGUCACAUCAGUUACUCAAAAUGCCUAGAGGAGAACCACUAGUGAUGUAUCUUGGACGGCCAUUGAUUACAUCCAGAUUAUCCUAGAAGGAUUGUGAACUAAUUUUCACUAAGCUACAUCAGAAAGUACAAGGGUGGGCUACUAAAAAGUUGAGUUAUGGUGGUAAAAUACAGGUGAAGUUAGAACUAGAUACAGAGCCAGCAGAGUACGUUGGAAGGAUCCUUAUGUUUGCCAAAAAAAGAGGGUGGAUUUGAUUCUAUGGAUUUGUCCUUGUGGAAUCAAAGUCUUGAAAUGAAACUCAUUUGGAAUAUAUGCAACAAGAAAGAUUCUUAAUAGGUGAAAUAGGUGCAUGAAGUCAUGUUGAAAAGGAGGUCCUUUGGGGUAUUAAGAUCCCAAGGAAUUGUUCUUGGAUAAGGAGAACAUUGUUGAAACAAAGGCCGGUAGCUCGCUCUUUUGUUCAGAAUGUAAUAGGGAAUGGUCUUCAAACAAAUUUUUGUUAUGAUGCAUGGCUUCUUGUGCGACUGUUGUUCUUGUAGUUUUCAGAAAAUCUACUAUCCUGCUUUGGGUGCAACUCUUAGGCCAAGUGUAUUGAAGAUGGAAAAUGAAAGUGGCCUCAAAGUAGGAAAAUGUCAAAGGGAGUGAAAUGGCUGGAGCAAUUAACACUUGAAAGUUUUGUUCCUAUGCCAGACAACGAAACGAAGAUCAAGCUAGAUGGACUGCAAGUGAUAUUGGUAUUUUUUUCCUGUUAAAUUAGCUUUGAAGGUAAUCAAAGGUAGCAAACCAACUGUGGAAUGGUACAAACUGGUUUGGGGUAAGAAUCAUAUAUCAAGAUGCUCCUUUAUCUUAUCGCUACCUUGUAAAAGAAAAUUGACAACAGUAGAUUGAGGAAGUGGGGUUCGAAGGUGGAAUCAGCAACUUGUGUUUGCUGUGCAAUGGCUGUGGAAAGUAUGGAUCAUCUAUUCUUUGAUUGUCUAGUUACAGAAAGAAUUCAGCGAAAACUGCAAAUGUGUAGUGUAUUUAGAAGUAAACUCUCUUGAGACUGUGAAAUCGCUUGGCUUGCUCAUCACCAGUCGGGAGAAUCAUUCUGCAAUCAAUUCAAGAGGAUGACUUUAGCAAUGACAGUGUAUACCAUUUGGAGAGCUCGGAAUGAAAUUAGAUUCCAAUCAAAGCAGGGAUCAGAUGUGUGUAUUCUUGACGCCAUUACUAGCAUAGUCCAUUGUGCAACUGUUUCUUGGAGAAAAUUCCUAGGACUGAGGAGAGUUGGAGGAGGAUGUUGGUAGAGUCGGGUAUCCCUACCAAAUUUUCAUAUAGCAUGUAUUUGUGGACUUCUAGGGAUGUACUAUGGAGAGGAGUGCAAUAAUGAUAUGUCAAGAGAAUCUAUGUGUAACCUGAUUUCCUGAAAUCAAUAAAAUUUACCAUUUUUUUUACUUUCAAA